rnacentral:misc_RNA from 1 species
UUGAAUUUUAAUGAAGAGUUUGGUUGUAGCUGGCCCAUUCACUUGGGCAUGUGCACACCUUCCUCUUUCAUCCCACACACACCUGUGAACCUGUGAGACAGAGAUGGGGAAUUUACUUGCUGCUUUUUGGAAUACAAAGGCAAUAGGUUAUUGGACCCCCCUCUGUCUACUCAAUUAAUAUAAACUCAAUUUAUUUUUAAAAACGAAUGUAAUGGAUGUAACACAUCUCAUAC